UUCAAAUCCUCUGGAGGCCCUGCUCCCUUGUGAGGUUGGGAAGUUUCAGCUUCACCUCUCCUCUGCCCUUCUGGAAUCAAACAUGAGGAAAUUCAUGGGUUUAAGGAUCCAGUGGUGGGCACCCAGCUGGGCACAGGAUACUAGAGCAAAGCUGUGGCGCCCCAGAAGUGGCCUGCACUGCCAACAUACAUAAAUACAUACAGUCUGAACUUGACACUGUGUAAUUUAGCCCAGAACAAUAUGUAUUUUGAAAUCAUUUAGGUGGAUGACUUUUGCAUUCCGAGUGGCUGGGGAGCCUUUAUUGGGGCACAUUUACUGUCUACAGAAGCAUGCCUUUGUUCUAAGACGUGGCUUUUGGAACAUUUUGCUGAGCUGUCCCUUUGAGUGAAUGUCACCCUCUCCCCGCUUUCAAAAGGCCCAAGAAUGCAGUCCCACAAUCCUGCUGUAGGAAACAGACACUGGGGUAAGAGAGAUGGCUCUUGUUUUUGCUGUUGGUUCUCAAACCUCUGUUUACAUUUUUUUUUAAUGUAACCAACCCAUAAUUGCAUUUUGCUUGUCAUGGUUCAAUCUGAUUGCAUUGUUGGAAGGACUAUUUUUGACCUUGUCCAAAUAAACUCUGCAGAGUAUUUCCAC
rnacentral:lncRNA from 1 species